UGAUUCUGAAAACAAGGAAGAUAAGAGUGAAUAUUAUUGAAACAUUCCAUUUGGAUCACACCUGUGGAGUGAUUAUAACAGUAUCUCUGAAGGGUUUGUACUUUCACGUAGCAGAAUUACUUCAUUUUGCAUCACUGAGAAACUCUAAGAGGUGUAACUUCCGGGCAGGUUCUGUACCGAGGGCCUUCUCCUGAACUCCUUACUCAUGCAAGUAGGAUACUUUGUCUAAAUGAAGAGCGGGCUCUAUACUUUUUAUAUGUGGCUGUGCAUACAAAUUUGGGCAGGACUUCAGGAGAGAGAUGUGUUACUAUGAUUCUUCUGAAAGCUGUGUAAAUUUGGAAUCAUUCCACUGGCUUCAAUUGAGGGUUUGCCAUGUACAGCAGUGAAACUGACAGCAGAAUUUGAUCCAAUUUUUCCAUGUGAGACUUGCUCAAUUAAUAAGUGAUGGAAUUGUUUUUCAAACCACCAGCCCUUCAAACUAAGUCAAAUUGACAGUCAAGCUGUCUUCUUCUCAGCUCAUUCAUCAUCACAAUGCAAAAUAUUAGUAACGGUUUGUCAUCUGCAUUGAAUCAGAUCUACAAUGAAUCACAGGAACAUUUUCUCUAAACUGAUAAACUCUGGACAUAUAGUUACUUAAAAUGUAAAUAUUCAAAGAGAGAAGAAAGUAAUUGACAGUCAUUAAUGGCCGAAAUUAUUCUUCUCACUUCAUUCAUCUGAACAAUCCGUAAUACAGUGUCAGUCAUGUAUGAUCAUUGCAUUAAAUCGUGCCUAAUCAUUCAUAACUACUGUAUAACAUUUCACAUUUAGUUUUUGUAACAAGCUAGCAAUAGUCACCAUUUUUAGGGUAUCCCGCUAGGAUCACAUCGUCACUCCUGGCUUCAAAAGAAUCAAAAACUUGGAAAGUUUCAGGGCUGCAUAUAGCAGCAGGGUACAAAAUUCCCUUAUAGGAAAAUAGCAGGUCUUCAGGGGCUGCCUUUUCACUAUCAGCCAAUAUUUUAUCCAGAUAUUCAACUACUCUCUUCUUGCUCUUAUCCAUGUUUGUGAAACUCUAUUCAAAGAGACUGAAACGCAGCGAAAUAAUUGUGGUAAUGAUACAUGGUGUAAUUUCAUGGUGAAUGACACUCCC